rnacentral:siRNA from 1 species
GUUGUUGGUUAAUCUUGCUUCGG